rnacentral:rRNA from 1 species
UUCGCAAUGCCCGAAAGGGUGACGGAGCGACGCCGCGUGGACGACGAAGGCCCUCGGGUUGUAAAGUCCUGUCAGGUGGGAAGAACAGCUUGGAGGUGAAUAACCUUCAAGCCUGACGUUACCAUCAGAGGAAGCACCAGCAAACUUCGUGCCAGCAGCUGCGGUAAUACGAAGGGUGCGAGCGUUGUUCGGAAUCACUGGGCUUAAAGGGCACGUAGGCGGGGAGAUAAAUCAGAAGUGAAAGCCCGGCGCUCAACGUCGGAAUUGCUUAUGAAAAUGUCUCUCUCGAGUUCAGGAGGGGAGAGCGGAACUCUUGGUGGAGCGGUGAAAUGCGUAGAUAUCAAGGGGAACGCCGGCGGCGAAAGCGGCUCUCUGGCCUGAUACUGACGCUGAGGUGCGAAAGCUAGGGGAGCAAAAAGGAUUAGAUACCCUUGUAGUCCUAGCCGUAAACGAUGGGCACUAAGUAGAGGGGUUUU